AGUGGCGAACGGGUGAGUAACACGUGGGCAACCUGCCCAAAAGAGGGGGAUAACACUUGGAAACAGGUGCUAAUACCGCAUAACCAUAGUUACCGCAUGGUAACUAUGUAAAAGGUGGCUAUACUACCGCUUUUGGAUGGGCCCGCGGCGCAUUAGCUAGUUGGUAGGGGUAAAGGCUUACCAAGGCAAUGAUGCGUAGCCGAAUUGAGAGGUUGAUCGGCCACAUUGGGACUGAGACACGGCCCAAACUCCUACGGGAGGCAGCAG
rnacentral:rRNA from 1 species